rnacentral:lncRNA from 1 species
UCAGAGAUUGGAAGAUUUGAGAGAUAAGAUGGGCAAAAGAAAACUGCCCUGUUUUCCAAAUGGGGGAACAAAAUCAUGCUUUGUUAGCGGGGAAACUUGAGACUUGAGAGGUUAGGGAAAUGAGCUAAACAUGUGGGGGAUUUAGGGGUUCAAGUGACCAAAGUGUCAUAUCCAGUGGAUCUUUUUUCUUUUUAUUGACCCUUUUGUUGUUAUAACCCCAAAGAAAAAGAAAAGGGAAAACUGUAUUUCGG